rnacentral:rRNA from 1 species
AGAGUUUGAUCCUGGCUCAGGACAAACGCUGGCGGCGUGCCUAACACAUGCAAGUCGAACGGGCCCUUUGGGGCUAGUGGCAGACGGGUGAGUAACACGUAGGUAAUGUACCUUCUCGCUGGGGAUACCUACCCGAAAGGGUGGUUAAUACCGAAUAGUCUCGCGUUGCGGCAUCGCGAUGUGAGUAAAGUGUUUUAGCGCGGGAGGAUCAGCCUGCGGGCCAUCAGCUGGUUGGUGGGGUAACGGCCUACCAAGGCAUCGACGGUUAGCCGGUCUGAGAGGAUGAUCGGCCACACUGGAACUGAGACACGGUCCAGACUCCUACGGGAGGCAGCAGUGAGGAAUAUUGCGCAAUGGGCGGAAGCCUGACGCAGCGACGCCGCGUGAGGGAUGAAGGUUUUCGGAUCGUAAACCUCUGUUAAGCAGGGAAGAGAACGGACGGUACCUGCUGAGGAAGCAUCGGCUUACUACGUGCC